CGUAGAGCAUGAGGGCUUCCUCGCGCUGGCGGGUGUUGAAGAGCGAGAACCAGUGGUGCUGCUCCAGCAGGCGGUGGUCGUUGAGCUCCUGGAGAAGACGCUUCACGGCGACACCAUCGUCGUCAUAGUGGCCGGAGAGCGGGUUGAAGCUCGUGGAGAGCUCCUUCAGGUGGGGGUCGCGGAUUUCCUCGUACACCUUCCACAGGAUGCUGUUGACGUCAUGCUGUUUCUGGGCGUUAGAAGCUGGGGGCACUGGAGAGUCCGCCAUCAUUUCGAAGUGCGGCCAUGCUGCGGCGGCCGCGACCAGAGAGCACAGGACCAGAAGCUUCAUCUUGGUGGAACCACAGUGCUGACGGCAAGACGCCCCGAAGGUUAUUUAUAUUCGCAGAUGCAAG